GUCAGCGUGGCUCAAUCGGAUGGAGCACCGGUUACAACCCGAGGUUGCGGGUUCGAGUCCUAUCGCUGGCA
rnacentral:tRNA from 1 species